rnacentral:tRNA from 1 species
GCAGCCAUAGCUCAGUUGGAUUAGAGCGCCUCCCUGCGAAGGAGGAGGUCGCAGGUUCGAGCCCUGCUGGUUGCACCA